GGGUCAGUAGGUUGGUCGUGCCACCGGUACGUACUGGUCUCACUGAUUCCUCCUUCCUGAAGAGCCGUAAUGCCAUUAAUUUGGUGUUGCGGGGAAACAGGACUGUUACUUUGAAGAAAUUAGAGUGUUUAAAGCAAGCUAACGCUUGAAUACAUUAGCAUGGAAUAAUGAAAUAGGACGAUCGAUCCUAUUUUGUUGGUUUCUAGGAUUGACGUA
rnacentral:rRNA from 1 species